GCACCUCAUUUUAAAAUUCAAGCCCUGGUCUCUCUUGUAUCCCUUCACCUGGGCAUUCUGCUUUAAUCUUGGGAGCUCCUGCCCGUACUACACUGGCUUAUCUCUCGUUUUCUCAAUUAGUGUCUGUUCACCAGAGCCUUGAACUUAGUGCUGUCUUUUAGCCACAGGAUCUUCGCAGGGUAUACGAGAGCUGGCAAGUGUUCCUUCCUCUCUUCUCCCUUACUCACCCCCAUCCCAAGUGAAAGAAUGUGAAGUUAACGUUUUUCAAACAUCUCAGCAACAAGGUGCAGUUCUAUAUAAAACCCAGAGAGGAUUGGAGGAUGCACAGGCAACUUCAAGCCCGUCCUGGUGCAGAAGGAGGAGAAAAACAGAAGACAUAGUAGAUAGAGACCUAAACUUGAAUUUAAAAGGAUUUGGGAUUAAAUGCCCCUGAGACACCUACUAGCUGUGUGACUCUAGACUUGGUAUGACAGAAGCCAGCUGGGCUUGGAGAACUAGUGACCUCUGUUUAAGAAUGAAAUCAAAUGUUGCCUCAUCAACUAUGACAUGCUGAUUGCCUUACAGUCAUUA